rnacentral:lncRNA from 1 species
CAAGAGUCUGCUCCCAAAGCCUCCUUAAGGCUGGGCUUCUCUGAGUACUGCCGAAUCUCUAACCUUAUUGUGCUUCACCUCAGAAAGGUGGAAGAAGGAUCAUGUUCUAAUUGAGCUCACCCAGGCUGGAUUGAAAGGCUCCACAGAGGGAAGUGAGAGCUAUGAAGAAGAUCCCUACUUGGUAGUUAACCCUAACUACUUGCUCGAAGAUUGAGAUAGUGAAAGUAACUGACCAGAGCUGAGGAACUGUGGCACAGCACCUCGUGGCCUGGAGCCUGGCUGGAGCUCUGCUAGGGACAGAAGUGUUUCUGGAAGUGAUGCUUCCAGGAUUUGUUUUCAGAAACAAGAAUUGAGUUGAUGGUCCUAUGUGUCACAUUCAUCACAGGUUUCAUACCAACACAGGCUUCAGCACUUCCUUUGGUGUGUUUCCUGUCCCAGUGAAGUUGGAACCAAAUAAUGUGUAGUCUCUAUAACCAAUACCUUUGUUUUCAUGUGUAAGAAAAGGCCCAUUACUUUUAAGGUAUGUGCUGUCCUAUUGAGCAAAUAACUUUUUUUCAAUUGCCAGCUACUGCUUUUAUUCAUC